UCCAAGGCCUCCAUUAGAGCUCUGGUUGUUGGGGACGAAGGACCGUCAAGUGUGUUUCGACUUUGGAGCAAAUCCCAAAACCAGGAAAAUUUUACCUAUAAAUCUGGCGUAAAAUUUUAUCCACUUAUCUUUUUGGGUGAUUUACAUCUUUUUUUGGGCGAUUUACAUCAACCCCACUUGGCGUUUGUCCAAAUUGCAUCAUCCCCCUGAAAAUCAAAAAAUUACAUUUAAAUCUGCAAAAUUGACACCAUUGGCAUCUUUGUAGGGUUAAUCUGUUAAGUGGAUAAAAUUUUAAUGAAAACCCCAUUUUUCCCUUAUUGUCUCCAACAUACCUACCCCACUUACAUCCGAUUCUGUUCGCCGGGUUCUCUUGAGGUUUUUUCUCUCAGGCGCGAUUGUAUCCAGUUCAUCACCCUUCGGUGAAGUCUUCUCAGGCAACGGAUUGCUUCGAGUUCUCUUCAGCUCUAAGUAACAAGCGGGUUGCAGGGCUCAACUUUGGUGCUUCAAUGGCGGAUCCGCUUAGAAGCUGGAAAAGGGUCUACAGCUUCCGUCGUGCCCCCGACAGAAGUGCGUUCGAGAAAUGAUCUUUGCUUGCAAAGAUGUGUGCAUGUGAUGGAAAUGGGAUGAAUGAAUAAAGUAUGAGAUGAACUGAAAAUUUUCGCUGAUCUUUGUAAAUCAUCAUUUCUUGCCCGCUAGUAUCUGACAAAUUGAAGAGAGAUUGAUUUCGAUUUUGAAAGCUAUGGUCCGAUUCCAAACUUCGUACCUGAAGCCUUUGAAGCCGAGGCCUAAGCUGUCCAAGAUAAGGAGGGAAGACAACAAAAAGAGCAGUUCUUUACAGUAAAGCACCUUGGCUAACGAACCUUCAUCGGAGACUUCACUCCACCUUUGCCGGAAAUGACAAUUCCUCUCCGUCGCCGAACACGGUAAGGGCAUUUGUGAUAGGUGUUGGUUUAUUAGAGAGAAGAGGGGUGUUAUAGGUAUAUAAAGUGUUAGGGGUAAUUUUGUCUUUUAAAAUUCAAAACUAACACUAUGCGAACGGUGUCAAUUUUGUGGGCUUAAAUGUAAUUUUUUGAUUUUCAGGGGGGGGUGAUGUAAUUUGGACAAACGCCAGGGGAGGUUGAU